GACAGAGGAGCCAAGCGUUGUCCGGAUUGACUGGGCGUAAAGCGCACGCAGGUGGUGGCGCAAGUGCCGUGUGAAAGCCGGCGGCUUAACUGCCGGAGGCCAUAGCAGACUGCGUCACUCGAGCCCGAGAGAGGUCCGUGGAAUUGCCGGUGUAGUGGUGAAAUGUGUAGAGAUCGGGAGGAACACCGGUGGCGAAGGCGGGUCUCUGGGCAUUUCCUGACGCUGAGGCGCGAAAGCGUGGGGAGCAAACGGG
rnacentral:rRNA from 1 species